ACACUGCAAUUUAUAAUUAGAUAUUAGUUCAAAUUUUCGCUGCCCAUCCCAACACACUUUAUAGUUCCGCUUUACUCGGCUGUGGAACAUACACAUGGGCAAUCCUGUUGUUAUACAAAGAAGCCAGCGAGUGUGUUAUUACUCUUGUGGUACAACCCUUGUUCUCAGCUCACAACUAGGUUGAGGCUGUGGAGUUCGUGAUGUACGUACAGCAGUUGCCGGCCCAUGUCAACUAGCAGCUACUCCAUCUCCUUUUCUCUUGCUCUACCUCUAUCUCGCUCUCCCUAUCUCUGUCUCAGUCUCUAUCGCUCUCCUUCUUCUAUUUUCUCUUGCGGCUCGCGCUCUCGGGUUCGUCAUCGCCUCUUCCGUUGUCCCUUCCUACGUUGUAAAGACAAGGUAGAAGACGAAAGGGUCAGGGCGCUGCUACGGCUCUGGAGAGUUUGCGGCGAAGUAGACGGCUAAAUAACACAAUGCUUUUAACAUCUACGGCCAUCCUGACAAGUGAAGCGAGGAUGAGACAGCGUCCUGGCGAAAUGCUGGGGCAUGCUCUAUUCUCAGUACCGUUGCCCUUGGGCUUGGAAUUCUGUCCGAGCUUUCAGUGCAAUGCGUCCCCUCUGUGAUUCCUCAACGACCAGCCGUCACAUUGGUACUGUCGAAAUCUUGGCAGUCGCAGCGGCAUCGACUGGGUACACAGCUGUUGGUGACUCUAGAGUUUAUCAACUACCCGUGACGAUCACACCACUACUGCUCUGUACGAUGGAGCGCAACAUACAUGUACAUGUACUCGAAAGAUAAGCGACAAUAUUGCUGACGCGGACCAAGUACAUACGUGUACAUACAAUGUACAUGUACAUUAGAUAUGACUAUUUUUCUGAAACCAAUUGAUGCCCGUCUUUCUCAAGAAGUUUUCUCUGCUAUACUUUAUCAUUAUUCGCGGAUAGUGUACCCUUCCCUAUUGCCUUUCCACUGUACUGCCUACAUGUAUAUAAUUUUGGUAACACUCAUACCAAGUUGUGUUGGCUCUUGACAGUCCUCCUUACACCUAGAGUUCACUGAUUUGUCGAUUUGAGCACUCUGGCAAGGUACAUGUACAUGUACGUUCGGGUCUGGCUAUUGAAAUGUUAUUUCAUUGCUAUUAGGUUCGGCCUCAUUUCCUCUGUGCAGCGCUGAUGUGUCCACAAAAGAAGAAACAGUUACAUU